AUUGAACGCUGGCGGCAGGCCUAACACAUGCAAGUCGAGCGGAGCGGCGGACGGGGGAGUGAUGCCUAGGAAUCUGCCUGGUGGUGGGGGAUAGCGUCAGGAACCGGGCGCUAAUACCACAUACUAUCAGAUGAGCCUAGGUCGGAUUAGCUAUUUGGUGGGGUAAAGGCAUACCAAGGCGACGAUCCGUAACUGGUCUGAGAGGAUGAGCAGUCACACUGGAACUGAGACACGGCCCAGACUCCUACGGGAGGCAGCAGUGGGGAAUAUUGGACAAUGGGCGAAAGCCUGAGCCAGCCAUGCCGCGUGUGUGAAGAAGGUCUUCGGAUUGUAAAGCACUUUAAGUUGGGAGGCGUUACCAACAGAAUAAGCACCGGCUAACUCCGUGCCAGCCGCCGCGGUAAUAC
rnacentral:rRNA from 1 species